rnacentral:rRNA from 1 species
AGAGUUUGAUCAUGGCUCAGAUUGAACGCUGGCGGCAUGCCUUACACAUGCAAGUCGAGCGGCAGCGCGGGGGCAACCCUGGCGGCGAGCGGCGCACGGGUGAGUAAUGCAUCGGAACGUGUCCUCUUGUGGGGGAUAACCAGUCGAAAGACUGGCUAAUACCGCAUGAGAUCGAGAGAUGAAAGCAGGGGACCCGCAAGGGCCUUGCGCGAGAGGAGCGGCCGAUGCCGGAUUAGCUAGUUGGCGGGGUAAUGGCCCACCAAGGCGACGAUCCGUAGCUGGUCUGAGAGGACGACCAGCCACACUGGGACUGAGACACGGCCCAGACUCCUACGGGAGGCAGCAGUGGGGAAUUUUGGACAAUGGGGGCAACCCUGAUCCAGCCAUGCCGCGUGUGUGAAGAAGGCCUUCGGGUUGUAAAGCACUUUCGGACGGAACGAAAUCGCACGAUCUAACAAGUCGUGUGGAUGACGGUACCGUAAGAAGAAGCACCGGCUAACUACGUGCCAGCAGCCGCGGUAAUACGUAGGGUGCGAGCGUUAAUCGGAAUUACUGGGCGUAAAGUGUGCGCAGGCGGCAAAGCAAGUCGAGUGUGAAAGCCCCGGGGCUUAACUUGGGAAUUGCGCUCGAAACUACUUUGCUGGAGUGUGGCAGAGGAAGGUGGAAUUCCCGUGUAGCGGUGAAAUGCGUAGAGAUGUGGAGGAACACCAAUGGCGAAGGCAGCCUUCUGGGCCAACACUGACGCUCAUGCACGAAAGCGUGGGGAGCAAACAGGAUUAGAUACCCUAGUAGUCC